AAUCAACGCUGGCGGCGUGCCUCAGACAUGCAAGUCGAACGAUUAAAGCUCUCUUCGGAGAGUGUAUAGAGUGGCGCACGGGUGAGUAACACGUAAGUAAUCUACCUUCGAGUGGGGAAUAACGUCCGGAAGCGGACGCUAAUACCGCAUAAUGCAGCGGCAUCGCAAGAUGACAGUUGUUAAAGAUUUAUCGCUUGAAGAGGAGCUUGCGGCAGAUUAGCUAGUUGGUAAGGUAAUGGCUUACCAAGGCUACGAUCUGUAACCGGUCUAAGAGGACGGUCGGUCACACUGACACUGAAUAACGGGUCAGACUCCUACGGGAGGCAGCAGUCGGGAAUUUUGGGCAAUGGGGGAAACCCUGACCCAGCAACGCCGCGUGAAGGAUGAAGUAUUUCGGUAUGUAAACUUCGAAAGAAUAGGAAGAAUAAAUGACGGUCUAUUUAUAAGGUCCGGCUAACUACGUGCCAGCAG
rnacentral:rRNA from 1 species